AGAGAGAGAGAUUAUAAAUAAAGAUACGCACAGAAGCUGAUAAACGGGCAACAAUGCAUAAGGAGACUCCACAACAAGAUAUCAAGUAUUAUAUCCAUGAACAGCACCCACCUACAUUCACUCACUAACCAGGCUGAUCUGUACUGUACUUCUGUGUAUGGCAAUGAACUGCAGUAAAUAUGAACCAGUAUUUUUUCUGUCAUUCUUGUUCUCUUUUACCUCAGGCAGUGCAGUGCAGACUCCAAGGCUCCCCAAGUGUACAGCAUUGUUGUGUGUGUGGAUGGGGUGUGUGUGCCAGACUCCUCACACUCUGUAUUGGCUCUCUUUUGGAUCUUCAUGGCAGUUUCCACAACAGCAAACACUGCAAGCUUGACCACACUGAUCUUGUCUCCAGUGAAGCUAAGAGUGGGAAUGUUUUUACCAAGGCCUUUGUUGGAGGCGUCCCCUGUGAUAUAGUGGACGACAACCUGGAGCUCUGUGACACACUGACAAGGGAGAAGGUUACUUGUCGCUCCAAGGCUAAGCUGGUCGGCCCCAUGAAUGUCACUGUCUGCGUUACCGGAAGAGGCGCGUCUGAAGUGACCAAGAUAGGAAGUGAUGUGCUGAGUUGGGCAGGAAUAUGAGAUGUAAGCAUUGGUGACCACUCAUGCUUGCCCACCCCGCUGAUUGACAACCUUGGUGAACUUUGGAUUUUUGAAAUUGUAUGGAGGUGUGUCUUACCUCAAGGAAUAAUGGCAUCAUACUAAGAAAUGCAGUGAAUCCUGCAGUUGUCACCAGGUUUGGUUUGCAACCAACUGCAAGUUUGUUUUGGUACAUGAAAUGUAAGAGUCAUCACCUAAUUUCUUCCUGACUGGUGUUAUUUUAUGUGAAUUACUAGCCAUCACUAGCAGACCUCUUGGGUGGUUUCCAAGACCCCAGCUUGGCCUUCAAGACACUUAACCAUACCAGGGUCUUCCUCCAGCAGCUCACCAGAAUAUAACUGGAUAACUUGCCUGCUGCCAGCACCUCCAGGCCUCUAGAGGUUGUGGCACCACAGCCUGAACAGCCCCUCAAAUCCCCAACAAGAACAAGAACACAACAGGGUAGUGGGAGUGAUGGCUUCAAGACACACUGCCACUGUACAGGGCAGCUGUUACUCUUGUACAUCAUGUGCUGCUUACAAGACUGUGUCUAAAAAUCUGAGAGGAAAAAGUAAAAGCUCACAGGACUGGUUGACGAGACAGCUAAAUGACCCUUAUGUGAAGUUGACCAAGCAACAUCAGUGCAGGUGAGCCUCAGCACUCUCUUUUACCCCUUCCUUUCCCACAUUAGCCAUCUUCCCACUCCCUCCCCAGGAAGGCCCCUAUGAUCAUUAGCCAAUGCAAGACACUGCAAUAGAGUGACAGUGUAUACCUGUUUUUUGGGGCCACUUCUUGGUAAAUAUGUUGAUCAUGAUAAUUUUUCAGACUGAGAUAAAUUUUUUUACUGCUCAAAAUAUUAUGCUUUUUCAAAAGGAGAUAGUGACAUUGAAUAAUCUUAGCUAUAGCAGCUCCUCAUGAAGCAGCUAAAUUAUGUGGAUAUUGGUGAUGAAUACAUACUGUACAAUAU